GAGCCCAGCACUCACUCUCCUCGCCAGCCCAUCCUGUGCCCUCCCCGCCGCACUCCCCCUGCCCCUAACACUAUCUGAGGGUCCUAGGAGGGAGGAGAAGCCAGAGCAGCCACCUCCAGUCCAGAACUUCCAGGAAUGGGAUGGGAGAGAGACAAGGAGAGGGAGAACGGAGUGAAGAAGACCCUGAGACCAGGCGGCGAAGAGGUACAAGAUUGUCAUCUAAGAGUCAAGAAUGUUAUUUCAGAGCUGUCAAGUGAGCCGUCAAACCACUGUAACAGCAUGUUAACUGAGGAUUUUCCAAAUGAUCAGAUAAAAGCCCAAGGGGAGGAGAAUCCUCCUUAAUAUCUAAGUGUGUUCCAUUUUCACAUGCCACAAUGUAGCAGAAAGUAUGAGGUUAAAAUUGAACCUACCACAGGAUCUCUGAAUAUCCUUAGGCUUCAACAUUACCAAGAAUGGAUUUCUCAGCGAUUUCCAGAGGAAGACAACACAUGUAGAAUCAUGUACAUAAAUGAUGGUUGAGGAUAUGUAGACUGACUUUGAGUGAUGCCAAUCUGUGGUUACCUCUUUUGGAUGCUAGACAAGGUCCUGGGCAGACAGAGCAUGUUCUUUCAAACUCCUCCUUAUCUCCCCUAUAUCCACCCAUAUUUUGGAAGGUAGAAGAUGGGAAAGCAAAAUGUGUCUGUUUCAUCAGUUAUGGAUGGAAAUUAGAUGGACUUCUUUACUUGCCUUGCCUAUACCUACUAUAUAAGCACCUGCCCUUCCAAUGGUCUCCUAAAGUGUUCAGCCUGUAAACCACAUGAAAUUUUCCACACAUACCCUAGUAUAUGGGAGGAGAUUGACACCUCACCGGAAGCUAGAUACGAUCAGCCAUCCUUUGCUGGGCUAGUGACCAGAUCCUUUUCUGUUGAAAAUUUGAACUAAGAAACACAUUAACAACGGUGAGUCAGCGUUGGGCUCUGGACAUGAAAGACAGUGAUAAAUUAGAGCUGAACCACUUGUGUGUUGGACCUUGUGUGAAGUGUUUAAUCAGAGAAAGCCGACUGCACUGGAAGAAUGAAGCAGAUGCGUGAAGAGGAACAGAGAUGAAGAAGAUCAAAUGACCAAGAGGUGAAAGGAGUGACCUCAGUCCCUGAGUGUCUGGUUCCUGGCUCUGGGAGCCCAAAUCCCUUGAUGCCUUGGAAUUACCUUUUGGGUCUCUACCACAAACCUUCCUAAUCUUGCGCUACCUUGAGUGGUUUCUAUUCUGUGAAUCCUUGAUCAUUGACUGAAACAUACAACCAAAUGUAUUAUUCAUCCACCAGCUUGUCUGGUUUUGUUUAUGUUUUGGGGUCUUCAGAGUUUGGCUUCUGAUUGGUAGUCACAGAUUAAAUUCAUUAUUGCCAACCCUUUGA